AUCCCUAUCUCUCUAUGCAGCCAAACUAAUCCAAAUCUUGCCACUGGAGAGUUGAAACUGCAAAGAACCAGGCUGGAGGAAGCAACCUCCAAAUUGAUUCAAGACUUGAUCGAAUUUCAAUUCACUCCCUUCAUCCCACAAGGCACUGCACUGAGAACGUACCAGAAUUAGUGGGCAGCCAACAUGGAGGUGCUCUUAGCCAUUUCCCCUGAGGAUUUGUUAGUAGGGUUAGACGUGCCCUCUCAAGCAGAACCCAAGGAGACUGGUAUUUCUACUAAUGCUUCCAUUUCUCCUGCUAUCCCAGCUCCUACUCUUGCUAUGUCAGCAACUCUUCCUACAAUUGUCAGGGCUACUUCGAAGAAAGAACUUCUCACGCAGACUCUCCUCAAAGAGCUCAAGCCUCAACCAUUCUCAGGAGCAAGCAACAAUAACAAAAGAAGAGAAAACUCAUGCUUAACCCUAAAGAAGAAAAAGUAUCUGCAGCUCAUACGGACAAGGAGAAGGCAGAGGAGGAGAAAGAAAUGCUAUUAAAAAGAAAAAAGAAAAAGAGGUCUGAGAAGAGGAGACAACAGCAGAUACAGAGGGAUGAAACUGCUGCUACUGAUGCACUCUAAAGGAAAACUACAAGGAGGCAACAGAUUGUCGAGCACUAUACUCUUCGUAGUUCUCCAACCAUCACCACAACUUCUAAGGCUGCAACUGUUAUUCCACAUCCCUAUCCUUCGACACUGGCUUCUUCUGUUUUGCUUGAAGAUGAAAGGCCAUUAGAGGCAGCCUCAAAAAGGAGAAAGAAGAACAACACCAAAGUGCCUUUAAGUGUAGAGCCCAUCCAGAAAGUACUUCCACUUCUUAGCCCUACACUUUCCAUACCUUCUUUGAGGCCAAACAUCUCUCUUUCUUUAUGACCGGGCUUAACUCCAUAUCUACCUCAUCUAACUUUUGUCUCAGCCCAGUUUACUCUCCCUAUAGUCCUGGCUAAUCCUUCAUCACCUGAGAGGGCCCCAGUUGUCACCUCAUCAUCAGUGAUAGCUAGUACUCCCAGAGAAAAUACUGGUAGCUCACCAAUUUCUUGUCCACCAUCCAGCUACAAUCCCUCUUCCCUUCACCGACUGGUGGCCAGGACUAUAGACACUGCUUGGGAAUCUCACACUCCUUCGCCAAUCCCCAUGUAGCCAUCUCUUCCUUCCACUAGUGAUUUCUCUGUACUUUCAAUGUCAGAAGAGGAUAUGGAUAUUUUUGAAACCCGGCUAGCUAGCCUAUUUGACAUGCCUUCCUCAGUUCAAUCAACCAAUAGUAAAGCUGAACCAUUGGUCCUUGCUGACUCCUUCCUGGAAAUUUUUUAGAGUUCCUCUACUAUCAACAGAGUUCCUUCGCCUCCAGUGGACUUGGGCACUUGUUUGGAAUUGCUGACAUUAUUCUCAAGGAUUCCAUUCGAAGCCUUACAAAGACCUAUCAUUAAGAAUGGUUUCCUCCAAUGCUGCAAAGUUAUUGAGCAAUCCAACAUGCCUAUUUCAAGUCACUUAUCCCAGACAGCAGCUAUCAUAGUUUCUAUGUUAAUAUCUGCCAUAUUGAUAAAGCUGUAGAAGAGAAGCUACUGAAAGACAAAGAAUUUAUUUCUCAUAUACAUGCUGAGAUAUCUGAAUUAAAGGAACAACAUUCCUCUGCUUCUCAGUUUCGAACUUAACUCUUGGAGAAAAAAAUCCAAUUAGAGGAAGAGUUAGCAACAGUUAACCUAGCCUUGGAUCGUAUUGCUAAAAAGCUGCAAAUUACCAAUCAAGGGCUGGCUGACCGUAGGCAGGACAUGGCUAUAGCCAUUCAGUUGUUCCCAUCCCUUAAGAGUAGAGAAUCAAUUGUAAAGGAACAAUUGAAGCAUUGUACUGAUUUCUAGGCCAAUUUAUGGCUACAUGUAUUUAAUUCUUUAUGAAAUGAAAACCUUUUAUUAUCUA